rnacentral:rRNA from 1 species
UACAGAGGGUGCGAGCGUUGUUCGGAAUUACUGGGCGUAAAGCGCACGCAGGCGGCCUAUCAAGUCUGACGUGAAAGCUCCUGGCUUAACUGGGAGAGGUCGUUGGAAACUGAGGGGCUUGAGGCAAUGAGAGGGGUGUGGAAUUCCCGGUGUAGUGGUGGAAUGCGUAGAUAUCGGGGGGAACACCAGUGGCGAAAGCGGCACCCUGGCAUUGGCCUGACGCUCAUGUGCGAAAGCGUGGGGAGCGAACGGG